UUCCGGAGAGGGAGCCUGAGAAACGGCUACCACAUCUAAGGAAGGCAGCAGGCGCGCAAAUUACCCAAUCCUAAUACAGGGAGGUAGUGACAAGAAAUAACAAUACAGGACUUUUUGGUUUUGUAAUUGGAAUGAGUUAAGUAUAAACCCCUUUACAAGUAUCAAUUGGAGGGCAAGUCUGGUGCCAGCAGCCGCGGUAAUUCCAGCUCCAAUAGCGUAUAUUAAAGUUGUUGCAGUUAAAAAGCUCGUAGUUGGAUUUCUGUUAAUAAUUUAUAUAAUAUAUUUUGAUAGAUAUUUAUAUAAUAUUAACAUAAUUCAUAUUACUAUUUUUUUUUAGUAUAUGAAAUUUUACUUUGAGAAAAUUAGAGUGCUUAAAGCAGGCAUUUGCCUUGAAUACUCCAGCAUGGAAUAAUAUUAAAGAUUUUUAUCUUUCUUAUUGGUUCUAAGACAAGAAUAAUGAUUAAUAGGGACAGUUGGGGGCAUUUGUAUUUAACUGUCAGAGGUGAAAUUCUUAGAUUUGUUAA
rnacentral:rRNA from 1 species